CACACCAAAAAACACAAAUCUUCCAGUGUUUCAUUGUCCUGUGGCCAAACCAGAGAGAGACACUAGCAGUCCUGUCCUCAGGGCCACUUGAAUUCACCUUGACUUUGGUUCCCAGAUGAGCAGGUCCUUCACGUCAUGAGGGUGCAACCCUUCAUCAUCUUGGGAUUUCAUCCUGGGACAGAGUGUGAGCAGCAGUAAGGUCAGAUAGGGGUGAGGUUAUAAUCUAGUGAGAUUUGGAUAGGUUCCAGCAACUUCACCUGAAAAAAAAAUAUCAAGACUGGUGACACUGAAGAUGCUUCUAACUCCAUGUCUGCAUUCCCUUAAUUUCACAAGCAGUCCACACGAUGGCCUGGGGUUUAGAUGGGAGUACUCUAAGGUGCAGAGAACAUUUGGAGUGCAAAUUGGAGUCAUACUGGCAAACUCUUGAUUUGAGGGAUUUUAUGUCUGGAACCAAAUGUGAAUGGAGUGGAUUGAUGCUGGGUGGGAUGUGGCCUCCAGAAUAGCCUCUUCUUUUCCUGAAUUGCAUGUUCCUUUUCAGGCUAGGGUUUCCUGGGUCUGAUUCUACCACUUCCACACUCAACGUUUCCCAGUUCAUGGGGAACGACCCUCAUGGGAAUCCAUUGCAUGAAUGUUUCUUUCUAAACACUGUUAUGUUUAAAUGAGUGGGCAGCUUUGAUACCUUUAAAACCAUAAAUUCAUGUUACAGGCACUAAAAAGGAAACUCUUGUUUUACCUCUUCUGGCUGCAUGAUUCCUGUAGGAUGAGAAGCACACAGCCAUGUCUGGUUUUUGGCUGAUAAUCUAGCCUCUGUUUCAUUUCAUCUGCAUGGCCUUCUCAUCAUGGAAGAGCUGUUUCAUUGGGCUGUUGCUGGAUGGGACUGCCUAUUCCUUCAGAUUAUUUAGCUGUCAGAAAAUUCAGAGAGCAAAAGGAACUUUGUGUAGGCUGGCUGCCCUCCAGGUUGUGGUUCAUUGUCUUCUUGUGGGAGCUGAGGUUGUUUGCACGUUGCAGGAGGAUUUUCAGUCCUCUGACAGGAAUCAUUGAAUCUUGCAUGACUCAAGCACAAGGCAGCUGAUUCUCUCAGGAGAGGCCAGUCCGAGGUUUGAGAACACUGCUCCACCCUGCACUUGGCUUUGUCAUGGUUGCUGCCUUUUCCAGAGAGGGCUUACAAGGCCCAGAAUGAAGGGAGGAAGUGACGUCAAGAGCCCAGCCAUCUUUCAUUGACACCCACCUCUGGGGUCUCAGUUCACCCCUUUGCCCCCGGUGAUCAAGACUGCAUCAAAGACUGGAACAUAACCCCACUAUGGCCACAAUGGAAAGGACCCCUGACCAUCAUUUUGACCACUCUGACUGCCAUGAAUGUAGAAGGAAUCCCAGCCUGGAUCCAUCACCAUAGUGUAAAAACUGCAGUGGCUGAGACCUGGGAGGUGAGAGCAAGCCUUGAAAACCCCUGCAAAAUGACACUGAGAAAGACGACAAUCCCUGCUCCAGUGACAACAGGAAGCUGACUGUUCUACACACUUCUGAAGCAUUAGAAAACUCGUUGUGGGAGUUAUUCUCCUUAAAAUUUGGGCUUGUAUAAUAAAGACUGAUUU